rnacentral:rRNA from 1 species
CGGGGGACAGGGUGACAGGUGGUGCAUGGUUGUCGUCAGCUCGUGUCGUGAGAUGUUGGGUUAAGUCCCGCAACGAGCGCAACCCUCGCCUCUAGUUGCCAGCAUUCGGUUGGGCACUCUAGAGGGACUGCCGGCGACAAGUCGGAGGAAGGUGGGGAUGACGUCAAAUCAUCAUGCCCCUUAUGACCUGGGCUACACACGUGCUACAAUGGGCGGUACAAAGGGUCGCGAACCCGCGAGGGGGAGCCAAUCCCAAAAAGCCGCUCUCAGUUCGGAUUGCAGGCUGCAACUCGCCUGCAUGAAGCCGGAAUCGCUAGUAAUCGCGGAUCAGCAUGCCGCGGUGAAUACGUUCCCGGGCCUU